rnacentral:lncRNA from 1 species
AGGGAUGGUUUCUCUAGGGUGUUUCAAGACAAGGCUAAGGGUCCGUUUUGGCGUAUCGCCGGCCACUGAAUACGGUGGUGGUGCGACAGUCGAACGGCGUCGAUGAUGGGUAUAUGAAGCCCUAGCCAAAAAGAGAGAAAUGGGGGAGACAAGGGGAAGGAGAGAAAGCAAAAAGCUUUCUGUUUUCUUAAAAAAAAAAGGGCUAAAAAU